rnacentral:rRNA from 1 species
UACGAAGGGGGCUAGCGUUGCUCGGAAUUACUGGGCGUAAAGGGCUCGUAGGCGGCCAACUAAGUCGGACGUGAAAUCCCUCAGCUUAACUGGGGAACUGCGUCCGAUACUGGAUGGCUUGGAUUGGGAGAGGGAUGCGGAAUUCCAGGUGUAGCGGUGAAAUGCGUAGAUAUCUGGAGGAACACCGGUGGCGAAGGCGGCAUCCUGGACCAACACUGACGCUGAGGAGCGAAAGCCAGGGGA